rnacentral:rRNA from 1 species
CGGCAACAGCUCAAAUUUGAAAUCUGGCCUCUUUCGGGGUCCGAGUUGUAAUUUGUAGAGGAUGUUUUGGGUACCGCGCUGGUUUAAAUUUCUUGGAACAGAGCGUCAUAGAGGGUGAGAAUCCCGU